GCAUCGAUAACUCAGUGGCAGAGCGGUGGGGCGUUAACCCAUGCGGCCCGGGUUCAAUCCCCGUUCGAUGCA